rnacentral:lncRNA from 1 species
GGGGCUGCGGCCCGCUUGGCUUUGGCUCCACUGGCCAAAGCGGGGACGGCGGGCUCGGGGAGCUUCUGGGGGCAGAGUCUAGCCGAGGGUUUCCGUCCCUCUUUCUGCCAGGCUUCAAGCCUAAAACAGCCGACCCGUCUGGAAUCCGAAGGACAGUAGGGUCCUUCCCCUACACACACACACACACACACACACACACACACACACACACACCCCUUUUUUCCCCUUCUAGAAGAACUCCACGGUUACAAAUACCCGCCUGGUUUGAUGCCGAGUUACUCGUCGACAGAUGAGCGCACACAGAGGACCCACGCGCACCGGCCAACACCUCAGCCCCUGCAACUAGAUGGCAGUCGGGCCACCCAGAUCACGCAGGCUUCUCCAGUCUGGAUCCAGCGUGGCUCGCACCCACCUUCUCCCUUUGUCGAGCACCUCGGCGGUGUUAAACGAGUUGACAAGUCCCACAGCCAGCCGCGGGUGGUGCUUACCGAACGGGCUUAAAACUCUACGUGGGGAGUUUGCUGGAAAGAAACGCUGGAGUCCCGGGCUGGCAAGGCCUGUGUGACUUUGAGAUUUAUUCCCAGCACCCCCACCAAACACACGCGCAGUCUGCAGAGGAGUGUCAAAGUGGGAGCAGGGACGCCCCCCUACCCCCGAAAAACCACAGGCUAGAGUGAGCUAACCCGCCUAGCUCGUGGAAGCCAGGGCUACUAAGCCGGAGCCGCACGCCUGUCCCUGUUCCUGUGAACUCAUUGGUGUGAGUGGAGGUUACAGGAGGCAGAAACCAAGAGGGAACGGUCAACCGGGCCUGGGGCUUCACCAAGGGGCUGCUGUGUUCACUCACGUUCUCUCUCUCUCUCCCCUUCUCCCCUCUCUCCCUCCCCCUAUUCCUCUUCCUCCCUCUCUCCAUCCCCCUCCGCCCCCUCCUCUCGUCCCUUAUUUCCCUCUUUCUGCUUCCCUCCUCUCACCCUCUUCUCCCUCCUCUCCCCUCACAUGCAGCCUGAAGAAAAACCUCCAAUCUUCGCUUUAAGCAAAUGCCUUCUUUCCACCUACUCCUCCACACGUGGCCGGAGGUCUUGUCUGGACAUUCCGGGAAGCGACACACGGAUUGGCUCGGUGCCGUCAACCCCAGCAUUUAAAAAUGUUAGGUGUGUGUGGGUGUUUAUGGGGGGGGGCACCCAAGGAUUUCCAUGCGCAUUCCUGCCUCACACAAAUAAAUAAAUAAAUAAAUAAAUAAAUAAAGUGCAAGGCA